CAUAGAUGUGCCAUUGGAAGGCAUGCCUCAGAGCACCUGGCCCUGACACACCUCUCAUUGUUACUGUCAUCAGCUGCCUUUUUGCACGAUGUCCAAAAUGCUAGAACCUUCUGAUUUAGAUACAAGUGCCUGGAACCAGCCUAGGUUCACUGAGCCCUGCAAGAGUGCGGUGAAAAGCACACCAUUAUGUAAUUGUCUCACACCUGAUGUCAUAGGUUCAGGCACCAUUAUAAAGGAGAUGAGAUGAAGUUCUCUCUUCCCCCACAGCAUCAUUGUCUCCUCUGUAUUCUGGUCAUUUUGCUGAACAAUAGCUAGGUAAUUUUAGUGUCCAUAUUCUCCUCCCACAUAAAGAUAUCUUUUCUGUAAUAAUGCCAAGCUUUGUAUGUAAGUCUUUACUGAGGAUAACCCCCAUCACUAUGGAUCACCUGUUCAAUUUUAAAACUCUUAGACAAAGGGAAAGAUGGCUAUCAAUAAAGUCAGCUUUGUACGCAUGAGGCCACUCCAC
rnacentral:lncRNA from 1 species